GUCUACGGCCAUGCUACCCUGAACACGCCCGAUCUCAUCUGAUCUCAGAAGCUAAGCAGGGUCGGACCUGGUUAGUACUUGGAUGGGAGACCACCUGGGAAAACCAGGUACCGUAGGUG
rfam:Pteropus alecto contig39205, whole genome shotgun sequence.